rnacentral:rRNA from 1 species
UACAGAGGGUGCGAGCGUUAAUCGGAAUUAUUGGGCGUAAAGCGCACGUAGGCGGCUUUGCAAGUCGGAUGUGAAAUCCCUCGGCUCAACCAAGGAAGUGCAUCCGAAACUGCAGAGCUUGAGUACCAAAGAGGAUCGCGGAAUUCCCGGUGUAGAGGUGAAAUUCGUAGAUAUCGGGAGGAACACCAGUGGCGAAGGCGGCGAUCUGGGUGGAUACUGACGCUGAGGUGCGAAAGCGUGGGGAGCAAACAGG